rnacentral:rRNA from 1 species
AUGAAUCUUGCAGCCGAUCUGGCCAUUGAAUACAUGGAAAACAAAGAGAACAAAGUACUUGUUGAUUACAAUUAUUACCAACUGGAGCAAAAUAAAAAGACAUGUGCAAGAGUAUCAGACAAGCUGCUAGAAAAAUCAGAGGAUAUCAACCAACGCAGCAACAAAAUCAAACUGAUAACUAAAGAGGCAUGCAACUAUGUGGAUGAAGUGCGUGCUGCAUCAAAUAAAAUCCAUUGUCUUACUGGUGUUGCCUUGGACCCAACUACCUCAAUGUCCGUCUCUAAUCUGAGGCAGGCUCUCCUGGUGAUUCAUGAUGCAGUAAUUGCACUGCAAAACACUACAACCACAGCAUCUCAGUUCCUGGAGGAAGAAGGCAUGUACUCUGAUGAGGACGUGGCUGAUCCAGUAUACACUGGGCAUUCUGAUGAAGAUUCUGCUGAAGAUUGCCAUCCAGACAUGAACGACGACUACGCUCAUUAUAUGCGAUAUCCAUGA